GACGAACGCUGGCGGCGUGCCUAAUACAUGCAAGUAGAACGCUGAAGGAGGAGCUUGCUUCUCUGGAUGAGUUGCGAACGGGUGAGUAACGCGUAGGUAACCUGCCUGGUAGCGGGGGAUAACUAUUGGAAACGAUAGCUAAUACCGCAUAAUAUUGACUAUUGCAUGAUAGUCAGUUGAAAGGUGCAACUGCACCACUACCAGAUGGACCUGCGUUGUAUUAGCUAGUUGGUGGGGUAACGGCUCACCAAGGCGACGAUACAUAGCCGACCUGAGAGGGGGAUCGGCCACACUGGGACUUAGACACGGCCCAGACUCCUACGGGAGGCAGCAGUAGGGAAUCUUCGGCAAUGGACGGAAGUCUGACCGAGCAACGCCGCGUGAGUGAAGAAGGUUUUCGGAUCGUAAAGCUCUGUUGUAAGAGAAGAACGAGUGUGAGAGUGGAAAGCUCACACUGUGACGGUAGCUUACCAGAAAGGGACGGCUAACUACGUG
rnacentral:rRNA from 1 species